ACAAGCAGAGGAGCAUGUGGCUUAAUUCGAUGCAACGCGAAGAACCUUACCCGGGUUUGACAUGUGACUGCACGGCCUGUGAAAGCAGGCCUCCUUCGAGGGUGUCACACAGGUGCUGCAUGGCUGUCGUCAGUUCGUGCCGUGAGGUGUUUGGUUAAGUCCAGCAACGAACGCAACCCCGUGUCCAGUUGCCAGCGCGCAAAGGCGGGAACUCUAGACAGACUGCCCGUUCACACGGGAGGAAGGUGGGAAUGACGUCAAGUCAGUAUGGCCCUUACAUCCGGGGCUGCACACGUGCUACAAUGGCCGGCACAAAGGGAAGCUUGACCGCGAGGUGGAGCAAAUCCUUAAAACCGGCCCCAGUUCAGAUUGAAGGCUGCAACUCGCCUUCAUGAAGCCGGAUUCGCUAGUAAUGGCGCAUCAGCUACGGCGCCGUGAAUACGUUCCCGGGCCUU
rnacentral:rRNA from 1 species